rnacentral:rRNA from 1 species
GACGAACGCUGGCGGCGCACCUAAGACAUGCAAGUCGAACGGUUUCUUCUUUCGGGGAGAGAUAGUGGCGGACGGGUGAGUAACACGUGGAGGACCUGCCCCGCGGUGGGGAAUAACGCCGGGAAACCGGCGCUAAGACCGCAUACGAGCGGCGCCAUAGGGGGCGGUCGCGGAAAUGCGUCCCGCGAGGGACGCAGCCGUGGGAGGGCUCCGUGGCGGAUUAGCCCGUUGGCGGGGUAACGGCCCACCAAAGCAACGANCCGUAGCUGGUCUGAGAGGAUGGCC